AUGUUUCCCCAUGUCAAUCUCAGCUUCCCUAUCAAUGUAAACAUAUGUUCCCCAUGCCAAUCUCAGCUUCCCUAUCAAUGUAAACAUGUUCCCCAUGCCAAUCUCAGCUUCCCUAUCAAUGAAAACAUAUGUUCCCCAUGCCAAUCUCAGCUUCCCUAUCAAUGUAAACAUAUGUUUCCCCAUGCCAAUCUCACUUCUAUCAAACUAAACAUCUUUCCCAUGCCACUCAGCUCCCUAUCAAUGUAAAUAUAUGUCCCCAUGCCAAUCUCAGCUUCCCUAGCAAUGUAAACUAUAUUUCCCAUGCCAAUCUCAGCUUCCCUAUCAAUGUAAACAUGUUCCCCAUGCCAAUCUCAGCUUCCCUAUCAAUGUAACAUAUGUUCCCAAUGCCAAUCUCAGCUUCCCAUCAAUGUAAACAUGUUCCCCAUGCCAAUCUCAGCUCCCUAUCAAUGUAAACAUGUUCCCCAUGCCAAUCUCAGCUUCUAUCAACUAAACAUUUCCCAUGCCAAUCUCAGCUUCCCUAUCAAUGUAAACAUAUGUUCCCCAUGCCAUCUCAGCUUCCCAUCAAUGUAACCAUAUGUUCCCCAUGCCAAUCCAGCUUCCCU
rnacentral:lncRNA from 1 species